CUAUACCUACAGUUGAUGAUAAUGAAAAUUUCUGGAAGGGAUUAAAAACUGCCAUUCUCUCAGCAUGUGCUGAGUCCAUUGGCUAUGUCACCUGCCAUCACCAAGAUUGGUUUGAUGAGGACGAUGCUAAGAUUCAGG